rnacentral:rRNA from 1 species
GUAAUGGCAGGUCAGCAUACUGCCGUGAAUACGUUCCCGGGCCCUUGUACACACCGCCCGUCACACCAUGAGAGUUGGGAAUACCCGAAGCCUGUGAGCUAACUUUUAGAGGCAGCAGUCGAAGGUAGAAUCAAUGAUUGGGGUGAAGUCGUAACAAGGUAGC